UACGUAGGGUGCAAGCGUUAAUCGGAAUUACUGGGCGUAAAGUGUGCGCAGGCGGUUUUGUAAGUCUGUCGUGAAAUCCCCGGGCUCAACCUGGGAAUUGCGAUGGAGACUGCAAGGCUAGAAUCUGGCAGAGGGGGGUAGAAUUCCACGUGUAGCAGUGAAAUGCAUAGAGAUGUGGAGGAACACCGAUGGCGAAGGCAGCCCCCUGGGUCAAGAUUGACGCUCAUGCACGAAAGCGUGGGGAGCAAACAGG
rnacentral:rRNA from 1 species